UACGUAGGGUGCAAGCGUUGUCCGGAAUUAUUGGGCGUAAAGAGCUCGUAGGCGGUCUGUCACGUCGGCUGUGAAAACCCGGGGCUCAACCCCGGGCCUGCAGUCGAUACGGGCAGACUAGAGUGCGGUAGGGGAGACUGGAAUUCCCGGUGUAGCGGUGAAAUGCGCAGAUAUCGGGAGGAACACCGGUGGCGAAGGCGGUUCUCUGGGCCUGUUCUGACGCUGAGGAGCGAAAGCGUGGGGAGCAAACAGG
rnacentral:rRNA from 1 species